rnacentral:rRNA from 1 species
CAGUAGCCGCGGUAAUACGUAGGUGGCAAGCGUUGUCCGGAAUUAUUGGGCGUAAAGGGCUCGCAGGCGGUUUCUUAAGUCUGAUGUGAAAGCCCCCGGCUCAACCGGGGAGGGUCAUUGGAAACUGGGAAACUUGAGUGCAGAAGAGGAGAGUGGAAUUCCACGUGUAGCGGUGAAAUGCGUAGAGAUGUGGAGGAACACCAGUGGCGAAGGCGACUCUCUGGUCUGUAACUGACGCUGAGGAGCGAAAGCGUGGGGAGCGAACAGGAUUAGAGACCCCAGUAGUCCCUGUCUCUUAUAA